rnacentral:rRNA from 1 species
GAUGAACGCUGGCGGCGUGCUUAACACAUGCAAGUCGAACGAAGCACUUUAUUUGAUUUCCUUCGGGACUGAUUAUUUUGUGACUGAGUGGCGGACGGGUGAAUAACGCGUGGGUAACCUGCCUUGUACAGGGGGAUAACAGUUGGAAACGGCUGCUAAUACCGCAUAAGCGCACAGCAUCGCAUGAUGCAGUGUGAAAAACUCCGGUGGUAUAAGAUGGACCCGCGUUGGAUUAGCUAGUUGGUGAGGUAACGGCCCACCAAGGCGACGAUCCAUAGCCGACCUGAGAGGGUGACCGGCCACAUUGGGACUGAGACACGGCCCAAACUCCUACGGGAGGCAGCAGUGGGGAAUAUUGCACAAUGGGCGAAAGCCUGAUGCAGCGACGCCGCGUGAGCGAAGAAGUAUUUCGGUAUGUAAAGCUCUAUCAGCAGGGAAGAUAAUGACGGUACCUGACUAAGAAGCACCGGCUAAAUACGUG